rnacentral:rRNA from 1 species
ACUAAAUAACAUGCCAAGUCCGAACCGCUUUGUGGUUCAACUGAUUUGAAGAGCUUGCUCAGAUAUGACGAUGGACAUUGCAAAGAGUGGCGAACGGGUGAGUAACACGUGGGAAACCUACCUCUUAGCAGGGGAUAACAUUUGGAAACAGAUGCUAAUACCGUAUAACAAUGACAACCGCAUGGUUGUUAUUUAAAAGAUGGUUCUGCUAUCACUAAGAGAUGGUCCCGCGGUGCAUUAGCUAGUUGGUAAGGUAAUGGCUUACCAAGGCGAUGAUGCAUAGCCGAGUUGAGAGACUGAUCGGCCACAAUGGGACUGAGACACGGCCCAUACUCCUACGGGAGGCAGCAGUAGGGAAUCUUCCACAAUGGGCGAAAGCCUGAUGGAGCAACGCCGCGUGUGUGAUGAAGGGUUUCGGCUCGUAAAACACUGUUGUAAGAGAAGAAUGACAUUGAGAGUAACUGUUCAAUGUGUGACGGUAUCUUACCAGAAAGGAACGGCUAAAUACGUGCCAGCAGCCGCGGUAAUACGUAUGUUCCAAGCGUUAUCCGGAUUUAUUGGGCGUAAAGCGAGCGCAGACGGUUAUUUAAGUCUGAAGUGAAAGCCCUCAGCUCAACUGAGGAAUUGCUUUGGAAACUGGAUGACUUGAGUGCAGUAGAGGAAAGUGGAACUCCAUGUGUAGCGGUGAAAUGCGUAGAUAUAUGGAAGAACACCAGUGGCGAAGGCGGCUUUCUGGACUGUAACUGACGUUGAGGCUCGAAAGUGUGGGUAGCAAACAGGAUUAGAUACCCUGGUAGUCCACACCGUAAACGAUGAGUGCUAGGUGUUUGAGGGUUUCCGCCCUUAAGUGCCGCAGCUAACGCAUUAAGCACUCCGCCUGGGGAGUACGACCGCAAGGUUGAAACUCAAAGGAAUUGACGGGGACCCGCACAAGCGGUGGAGCAUGUGGUUUAAUUCGAAGCAACGCGAAGAACCUUACCAGGUCUUGACAUCCCUUGACAACUCCAGAGAUGGAGCGUUCCCUUCGGGGACAAGGUGACAGGUGGUGCAUGGUUGUCGUCAGCUCGUGUCGUGAGAUGUUGGGUUAAGUCCCGCAACGAGCGCAACCCUUAUUACUAGUUGCCAGCAUUCAGUUGGGCACUCUAGUGAGACUGCCGGUGACAAACCGGAGGAAGGUGGGGAUGACGUCAAAUCAUCAUGCCCCUUAUGACCUGGGCUACACACGUGCUACAAUGGCGUAUACAACGAGUUGCCAACCCGCGAGGGUGAGCUAAUCUCUUAAAGUACGUCUCAGUUCGGAUUGUAGGCUGCAACUCGCCUACAUGAAGUCGGAAUCGCUAGUAAUCGCGGAUCAGCACGCCGCGGUGAAUACGUUCCCGGGUCUUGUACACACCGCCCGUCACACCAUGAGAGUUUGUAACACCCAAAGCCGGUGGGGUAACCCUCGGGAGCCCAACCCGUCUUAAAGGGGGGCCCAAA